rnacentral:rRNA from 1 species
CCUACGGGAGGCAGCAGUGAGGAAUAUUGGUCAAUGGACGGGAGACUGAACCAGCCAAGUCGCGUGAGGGAGGAAGGCACAGAGUAUCGUAAACCUCUUUUGUCAGGGAACAAAGGCGGGGACGUGUCCCCGGAUGCGUGUACCUGAAGAAAAAGCAUCGGCUAACUCCGUGCCAGCAGCCGCGGUAAUACGGAGGAUCCGAGCGUUAUCCGGAUUUAUUGGGUUUAAAGGGAGCGCAGGGGGUCCUUUAAGUCAGCGGUAAAAGCCCGGGGCUCAACCCCGCCCCGCCGUUGAAACUGGAAGUCUCGAGUUGGCGAGAGGUAUGCGGAAUGCGCGGUGUAGCGGUGAAAUGCAUAGAUAUCGCGCAGAACUCCGAUUGCGAAGGCAGCAUGCCGGCUCCAGACUGACGCUGAGGCACGAAAGCGUGGGUAUCGAACAGGAUUAGAUACCCGUGUAGUC